GACCCUCGGGCCUUUGGCCACAGACUGAAGGCUGCACUGUCAGUUUCCCUACUUUUGAGGUUUUGGGACUCAGACUGAUCUGCCACUGGCUUCCUUGGUCCUCAACUAGCAGACAGCCUAUCAUGGAACUUUACCUUGUGAUGGUAAUAACGUAGAUGACAGGAAGAAAUAGCAUUUGAAAAAAAUUGCAUGCUUGAAAAAGUGGAACAAUACUAACCAGUGCCUAAGAGGGGCACAAAACUGUCUAUACUUUUUACACUUCAAUGGAUGUGAAAUAAUUACAUCUUAUGGAAUCAGAAUUUCAGAGUUCAAAGAAAUAUUAAUGGUCUUUCAGGCUACGAAUAAGAAAACUGAGAAGGGAGAAACAAGAGCUCUUUCUUUUACACCAAAGAGAGGCCACGUGAGGACAUAAUGAAAAGAAGGCCAUCAGCAAAAAAAGAAGAGGACGGUCACCAGACUCCAAAUC